GAUGAACGCUGGCGGCGUGCCUAAUACAUGCAAGUCGAGCGCGAGAGUGAGGAGCUUGCUCCUCAUGAUCGAGCGGCGGACGGGUGAGUAACACGUAGGCAACCUACCCUUGAGAUUGGGAUAACUACCGGAAACGGUAGCUAAUACCGGAUACGACUUUUCCCCAUAAGUGGAAUGGUUAAAAGGCGGAUUUAUCUGCCGCUCAUGGAUGGGCCUGCGGUGCAUUAGCUAGUUGGUGGGGUAGUGGCUCACCAAGGCGACGAUGCAUAGCCGACCUGAGAGGGUGAUCGGCCACACUGGGACUGAGACACGGCCCAGACUCCUACGGGAGGCAGCAGUAGGGAAUCUUCCGCAAUGGACGCAAGUCUGACGGAGCAACGCCGCGUGAGUGAUGAAGGGUUUCGGCUCGUAAAACUCUGUUGUUAAGGAAGAACACUUGAGGUAGUAACUGGCCUUGAGAUGACGGUACUUAACCAGAAAGCCACGGCUAACUACGUGCCAGCCGCCGCGGUAA
rnacentral:rRNA from 1 species